rnacentral:rRNA from 1 species
AUUGAACGCUGGCGGCAGGCCUAACACAUGCAAGUCGAGCGGAUGAAGGGAGCUUGCUUCUGGAUUCAGCGGCGGACGGGUGAGUAAUGCCUAGGAAUCUGCCUGGUAGUGGGGGAUAACGUCCGGAAACGGGCGCUAAUACCGCAUACGUCCUGAGGGAGAAAGUGGGGGAUCUUCGGACCUCACGCUAUCAGAUGAGCCUAGGUCGGAUUAGCUAGUUGGUGGGGUAAAGGCCUACCAAGGCGACGAUCCGUAACUGGUCUGAGAGGAUGAUCAGCCACACUGGAACUGAGACACGGUCCAGACUCCUACGGGAGGCAGCAGUGGGGAAUAUUGGACAAUGGGCGAAAGCCUGAUCCAGCCAUGCCGCGUGUGUGAAGAAGGUCUUCGGAUUGUAAAGCACGUUAAGUUGGGAGGAAGGGCAGUAAGUUAAUACCUUGCUGUUUUGACGUUACCAACAGAAUAAGCACCGGCUAACUUCGUG